UGGGGAAUUUUGGACAAUGGGCGCAAGCCUGAUCCAGCCAUGCCGCGUGCGGGAAGAAGGCCUUCGGGUUGUAAACCGCUUUUGUCAGGGAAGAAAUCUUCUGAGUUAAUACCUCGGGAGGAUGACGGUACCUGAAGAAUAAGCACCGGCUAACUACGUGCCAGCAGCCGCGGUAAUACGUAGGGUGCAAGCGUUAAUCGGAAUUACUGGGCGUAAAGCGUGCGCAGGCGGUUUUGUAAGACAGAGGUGAAAUCCCCGGGCUCAACCUGGGAACUGCCUUUGUGACUGCAAGGCUUGAGUGCGGCAGAGGGGGGAUGGAAUUCCGCGUGUAGCAGUGAAAUGCGUAGAUAUGCGGAGGAACACCGAUGGCGAAGGCAAUCCCCUGGGCCUGCACUGACGCUCAUGCACGAAAGCGUGGGGAGCAAAACAGGAUUAGAUACCCUGGUAGUCCACGCCCUAAAACGAUGUCAACUGGUUGUUGGGAAAGGUUUCCUUCUCAGUAACGUAGCUAACGCGUGAAGUUGACCGCCUGGGGAGUACGGCCGCAAGGUUGAAACUUAAAUGAAUUGACGGGGUCAUAGCUGUUUCC
rnacentral:rRNA from 1 species